rnacentral:rRNA from 1 species
UCGGUUAGUCCGCUAACGAGCGCAACCCUCGCUGUGUGGUUACAAGUGUCACACGGAACUGCCGGGUCGAUAAACCGGAGGAAGGUGGGGAUGACGUCAAGUCAGCAUGGCCUUUAUAUCCUGGGCUACACACACGCUACAAUGGGAAGGGACAAUAGGUUGCGAAGCCGCGAGGCGGAGCCAAUCCAGCAAAACUUCCCUCAGUUCAGAUUGCAGGCUGCAACCCGCCUGCAUGAAGUUGGAGUUGCUAGUAAACGCAGGUCAGCCAUACUGCGUUGAAUACGUUCCCGGGGCUU